rnacentral:ncRNA from 1 species
GAUCGGGAGAGAUCGCCGCAGGCGGCGCCGAAGGGGAACGCAGAAGCUCUCAGGCAGAAGGACCGGUU